GGGGUUUUAAUUUGCAAAAGAAUUUUAGAUAAAUUAAAAGAAUUCAUUCCUGGUAUGUUAAUUAUUUCAAUACAACUAGAGUAGUGGCACCAUUGGAGUCCGUUAGUAAACUGAAAUAAUUGAUGAAAGCUGAUACCCACAGGUUAACGUAAUAAUUACUGUAAGCUGCCAUCGGACUUCGGAGGCUAAUUGGAAGCUCACACUACUAUAACCUAACAG